GCCUGACUGGCUCAAUCAGAAGAGCAGGAGACUCUUGAUCUCAGGGUUGUGAGUUCAAGUCCCACGAUGGGCA
rnacentral:tRNA from 1 species